GAGGAAUAUUGGUCAAUGGCCGAGAGGCUGAACCAGCCAAGUCGCGUGAGGGAUGAAGGUUCUAUGGAUCGUAGACCUCUUUUAUAAGGGAAUAAAGUGCGGGACGUGUCCCGUUUUGUAUGUACCUUAUGAAUAAGGAUCGGCUAACUCCGUGCCAGCAGCCGCGGUAAUACGGAGGAUCCGAGCGUUAUCCGGAUUUAUUGGGUUUAAAGGGUGCGUAGGCGGCCUUUUAAGUCAGCGGUGAAAGUCUGUGGCUCAACCAUAGAAUUGCCGUUGAAACUGGGGGGCUUGAGUAUGUUUGAGGCAGGCGGAAUGCGUGGUGUAGCGGUGAAAUGCAUAGAUAUCACGCAGAACCCCGAUUGCGAAGGCAGCCUGCCAAGCCAUGACUGACGCUGAUGCACGAAAGCGUGGGGAUCAAAC
rnacentral:rRNA from 1 species